rnacentral:rRNA from 1 species
GUGGUUGUUGCUGGCCCUCUCGGGGGCAUGUGCACACCCACCAUCCUCAUCUCUCCACCUGUGCACCUCUUGUAGACCUGGAUUGACUUUCCGAGGCAACUCGGUCGGGAAGAUUGCUGCGCUCUGUGAGCCAGCUUUCUUUGCAUGUCCAGGCCUAUGUUUUUCAUAUACCCCUAUAGAAUGUAACAGAAUGUAUCAUUGGGCCUUGUGCCUAUAAACCUUAUACAACUUUCAGCAACGGAUCUCUUGGCUCUCGCAUCGAUGAAGAACGCAGCGAAAUGCGAUAAGUAAUGUGAAUUGCAGAAUUCAGUGAAUCAUCGAAUCUUUGAACGCACCUUGCGCUCCUUGGUAUUCCGAGGAGCAUGCCUGUUUGAGUGUCAUUAAAUUCUCAACCUUAUUAACUUUUGUUGAUAAUGGAUUGGAUUGUGGGGGUUUCUUUUGCUGGCUUCUUCACAGAGAUCAGCUCCCCUUAAAUGCAUUAGCUGGUGCCCCGCGUGGACCAUCUAUUGGUGUGAUAAUUAUCUACGCCGUGGAUGUCUGCAAUCAUAUGGGUUUCGCACUGCUUCUAACCGUCUGUUCAUUCGGACAAUACAUGACAAUUUGACCUCAAAUCAGGUAGGACUACCCGCUGAACUUAAGCAUAUCAAUAAGCGGAGGAAAAGAAACUAACAAGGAUUCCCCUAGUAACUGCGAGUGAAGCGGGAAAAGCUCAAAUUUAAAAUCUGGCGGUCUCCGGCCGUCCGAGUUGUAAUCUAGAGAAGUGUUAUCCGCGCUGGACCGUG